CAUUCACUGGGGUUUAGACAAUGUAAACUUUUCCACCACGCGAACGGGAGCAACCCCGGCCCCGGAGCGCUCCCCUUUCCUCGGGGAACCUCGCAGAGGCAGGCGGGCUCCCGCGCUACCUUUGCGGAGGGGGAGGCUGCUGGGGGCAGAGGAGUUAAGCUUCCCUGGCAGGACCCCCGGGCUGCAGCGUCCUGUAGGUGUAAUUCUUCUGGUGAAUCCAUGAAUAGUUGGCUUAAGUCUGAAAUGAUUCAGACUGAAAACGUCCAAGAGGAGUUAUUCCAAUUCUUCCCCGAGCCCCGAAAGGGAAAAGCAUCAGUCGACAGAGUCAACAGUCCUCAUCGUGACCUUAAUCAGGAUUUGGCUACGUGCCACUUCAAAUGUAGAGCUCGGUCCUGUGGUUGGCAUUGACAGCUCCAAAUAAACACGCUCCAUAUGGGAGCGGCACGUUUGCUUUUAAGAUAAAGAGCCAUUCUGGAGGAGUUUGGAUUGCUGCGCCCAGGCACGUGGAGCUACUGUGAGGAGCGAGCCCAAGUAGCGAGAACCUUUAAAAGUAGCUUAUUUGUCAUCGAUCGGGCUGAAAUGUGCCGGGGAUGCACAGCACGACACGACUCCCGCACGGGCUUUGACCAAACUACUGGUGCAAGGACUUCAGGGUAACAAUUCAUCUCCAGAGCAGAGUGUAGCUACAAAUGUCAUGUCUGAGCUGUGAAAUAACGCCCCUAAGAGAUGCCAGAGUUCAGACAGAAAACUGUUUUAUUCUCGGGAUCUGUGGUCAACCUGAGGAUGCGCUUCAUGUAAUUGCUUAUUCAAAGAGCGCCAUCCUGCGGCUGAACGCAGUAAGCGGCGAUGAAAGUGGCUGGCCGGACUUCAGAGGUAGCAAUUUUCUCACCUCUGUGGACAACGUGCUCCGUGUGCUUUGUGCUCCGCGCAGGGGCGCGAGUGCCUGGCGCGCUGGGUGCUCUUCCCUUUGUUCUGUGCACACAGUAACUGUGUAGCUGGAGUGUCUGUGUUCAUGCCUUUGUGGAUUCUGCUUCUCUGUCUAACCUGUAAUAGAUACGUGUAUUAAAGAACCCUGACAUAUUUUUUUAACUUCAUGUAGGGCAAUCAAUGUGAUGGAUGGGUUAUUUCAACAUUUUGUUCGGCUGCAGCAUAUACAUUAUGUGCUCAUGUUAGCAUGCAUCAACAGAAUCAUUCAAAAAGCAAGAGGCACACGAGGAGGUGAUUACUACCGUAUUUUGCUGCAGCACACACCGUCAAGGCCAAAGCACCAAUGGCUUGCUCUUUUUACCCUUUGCUUCAAAGCAGAUGUAUGGAUCAGUAGAAGAGGACUGGCUGUUACGUUGCUCCCCACUUUCAAAAAGAACAGACUGCAAGCAGAGGCAGUUGGUUACCUCCUACCCUUCCAGAUCCAGCAGGAAUGUGAGAAGCAUAUUGGUGUCCUUUACUCCACUUCCUAAAAUUAGUAGGACUGCAAAGAAAGCUAUAGGGUGCACUGCUGCUUCUCCUCUAGAGACAUCAGAAUAAAGCUGCAUGGGAGACAGUUUUCCUGUCCUGUCAAACUCUAGGAUUUCAAAUUUUUUUUGCAUUGUACACACAGACAAAACAAAUAUAAACCUUAUAAAUGGACAGAAACUCCAGAUGACACUCUCCCAGGUUUAAAUCAUUUUUAUUUUUCAUGAUUCAGAUGAGGAAUUUCAACCUGGCUCUCUCACAUGCGUGCCCUGAUGAUCAUGAGGCUAUGGACUACUGUUGCUAAAGCUUUCUUAAGUUUCUCCUGGUCCAGCUAUUCCACUAUGCAUAAGUGAUUAAAUAUUCAUCCUGGUAAAGAGAAACUAACUCUGUUGCUAAGUGUUUAGACUUCUCACAUGGGAAGUGAAGACCCAGGUUCCCAUCCUAAUCAAAAAAUCAACAGGAGCAGCAAUUUAAGCUUGGGUUUGGUAGUUCCAGGUGAUGGUCCGGAACAUCAAGCUUUCCCUAUUCAAGAAUAGCCCUUUCCUCCCCUCCUCUUCACUCAGAGCUGGCGCACCUUUUCCAACAACAGUUUGUUAAAAAAAAAAACAGUCUUUCCCCACAUGGAAAAAACUCCUGACCAACUCUGAUUAGACCUUCUGAAAGACCUCCAAAUGCAAUGAUAGAUUUACUGCAUCUUUCUCUACUGCAUAAAUUUUUUUUUCCAAAGUGAACUAAGUUUCAAAUUUAAUUCAGAUACCUAGAAGUAAAAAUGAGUUAAUUUGACAUCUAUUUUCAUUUUCAACAGUCUGAAUAAUAAUCAUACAGCAUUUCUGAGAGCUUGCAAGUUUUUAAGAGGAGACAAGAAGCAGGAUGUACAGGCGUGAUACGAAUUGCUUUGCUGAAAGUGAAAAGCAGUAUUUACUGUCACAUAGCAGCAAAAGGCAGGAUGUAAUUCCAUCUUGAGGUUCUGGUGACACUAUUAAACCGUUUGAGCAAUUAUGUUAUUGGAAGCCUUGUGAAUGGGAUUAUAGAUACAUUAGGCAACCUGUUUGUCAGUCUUUUUUUGAUCAUAGAACACACUGGCUAAAAUAUUAAGUAUUGAGCCUUGAUUUCAUUUUAGGCCUUUAAGUCCUUUAGCUUGUCAUCAGCCAAUGAUAAUUAUUAGACUUUUUUACUUAAAUAAAUAUGUUAACAAUUGAUUUAUACAUAAAAAGUAAUCUGGGUCCCAAUCCUGGGAAAUUUUCCAUUAACUACAAUAAGAAAAGAAUAGACAUUUUAGAGCCUUUGUUAGUCUGAAAUUUUAGUGACAUGAACUUAUGUUUUUCCAUACAUUUAAAAUGGAUAUGCUCAUGUGUAUGUUUCUUCCAAGACAUUUUCAUUUACCCCCUUUUAAUUUUCUCAAUGAAGACUCAAGAAGAAACAACCCAAAACACCUAGGAAAAAUUCCAACAAUGCUUAGAGAGAAAAUAAAACUUAAAAAUUAAAUGAGACAAGAUUUUGUCAUUAAAUUAAA